rnacentral:piRNA from 1 species
UAGAAAUGAUGGACGUGUUUGAGGUAU